CACUGACAUUAGAUACCCGUGUAGUCCAGGGUGUAAACGCUGCAGACUUGGUGUUGGGGGCCCUUUGGGGGCAUUCAGUGCCGGAGAGAAGUUGUUAAGUCUGCUACUUGGGGAGUACGUCCGCAAGGAUGAAACUUAAAGGAAUUGGCGGGGGAGCACCGCAACGGGAGGAGCGUGCGGUUUAAUUGGAUUCAACACCGUAAACUCACCAGGGAAGACUGUUACAUGAAGGCCGAGAUGAAGACUCUGCUAGAUUUUCAG
rnacentral:rRNA from 1 species